UACGUAGGGGGCGAGCGUUGUCCGGAGUUACUGGGCGUAAAGGGCUCGUAGGCGGCCAACUAAGUCGGAUGUGAAAUCCCCAGGCUUAACCUGGGAACUGCAUCCGAUACUGGAUGGCUUGAAUCCGGGAGAGGGAUGCAGAAUUCCAGGUGUAGCGGUGAAAUGCGUAGAUAUCUGGAGGAAUACCGGUGGCGAAGGCGGCAUCCUGGACCGGCAUUGACGCUGAUGAGCGAAAGCUAGGGGGAGCAAACGGGG
rnacentral:rRNA from 1 species